AUGUUCUGUAUCUCGUCAUUGGUGCUAAUAACCCUCGGCUUUCCCGGAGCCCGUGGCGAUGAUUCGAUUUCCCAGAGUCCGCCUGAGCUGACGGUUGAAGAAGGACAAACGGUAACAAUGAAAUGUAGUUACCCAGCAGCUUACGACACUCACACUGCCUUCUGGUACAUCCAGUAUCCUGGAGACGCGCCCAGAUAUAUACUGAAGAAAUUCAACAACGAGAAUGGAGAUUGGUCACCGGAUUUUACAGACAGAUUUUCGGCUGAAUAUCAGAAAGCAAACAGGACGGUUCCUCUAACAAUCUCCCGUGUCCUCGUCUCCGACUCUGCCGUCUACCUCUGCGCCAUGGCGCCCACAUUGCUACAGAGAUGCGGCUGA